GUGCCAGCCGCAGCGGUAAUACGUAGGUGGCAAGCGUUGUCCGGAUUUAUUGGGCGUAAAGCGAGCGCAGGCGGUUUCUUAAGUCUGAUGUGAAAGCCCCCGGCUCAACCGGGGAGGGUCAUUGGGAAACUGGGAGACUUGAGUGCAGAAGAGGAGAGUGGAAUUCCAUGUGUAGCGGUGAAAUGCGUAGAUAUAUGGAGGAACACCAGUGGCGAAGGCGGCUCUCUGGUCUGUAACUGACGCUGAGCUCGAAAGCGUGGGAGCGAACAGGAUUAGAUACCCUGGUAGUCCACGCCGUAAACGAUGAGUGCUAAGUGUUGAGGUUUCCGCCUUCAGUGCUGCAGCAAACGC
rnacentral:rRNA from 1 species